AUUGAACGCUGGCGGCAUGCCUUACACAUGCAAGUCGAACGGCAGCAUGGAAGAGCUUGCUCUUCUGAUGGCGAGUGGCGAACGGGUGAGUAAAGCAUCGGAACGUACCGUGUAAUGGGGGAUAACGUAGCGAAAGCUACGCUAAUACCGCAUACGACCUGAGGGUGAAAGCAGGGGAUCGCAAGACCUUGCGUUAUACGAGCGGCCGAUGUCAGAUUAGCUAGUUGGUAGGGUAAAGGCCUACCAAGGCGACGAUCUGUAGCGGGUCUGAGAGGAUGAUCCGCCACACUGGGACUGAGACACGGCCCAGACUCCUACGGGAGGCAGCAGUGGGGAAUCUUGGACAAGGGGGGCAACCCUGAUCCAGCCAUGCCGCGUGAGUGAAGAAGGCCUUCGGGUUGUAAAGCUCUUUCGGCCGGGAAGAAAUCGCACAGGCUAAUACUCUGUGUGGAUGACGGUACCGGCAUAAGAAGCACCGGCUAACUACGUGCCAGCAGCCGCCGUAA
rnacentral:rRNA from 1 species